ensembl:lncRNA
CAGUAUUGGUGUUCAUGCGUACAUUUUAUCUUUUCAUGUUUCAUACAUGGAGUAACAUCUGUUCCAUAGAAUAAUUCCUGAAAUAAAAUACAAGUCAAAMAAUUUAAAAAAGCAAAAAUGAAAAAGCACUUCUGUAACACUACUUUCAGAGGAUAAGUUCUCAGUGUUUAACAAUAGACUCCUGGUAAGACUGAGCGCGCUCUCCUAAGGGGUUUGUGACAAGAACUAAAAGGUUCUUAAAACCUACUAUGUGCAGGAAAUCUUUACUUCUUAAACUACUCUAUUUCGUUCAAACUUUGGCGCUUCCCAAAGCGGGCUGCACAGAACUGCCUCAUGGGCGCUCUUCCUACGGACCCCUCUCUGAAAUUCUGACUCGAUGCCCUGGGGUAGGCGGGCUCCUAAGAGCUGAUGGGAAGAACUGAGAGGGGGCCUGGCCCAAGUGACCACUACCCUGAAUUUACCGGCCCCUCGGGCGCAUCUCUGCACGGUGGUCGACCUGCCUUCUGGAGCCAGCAGACGUCAACGCCACCAAGCCCGCGGUAAAGGUUUGUCUGCACGCACCGCCCUACAGUCCUAGUCCGGACACAGCCACCCAGCCCAAGGGUUCCCGCCUCACGAGGUCGUCCCGCAGCAGGCCGCUCAGGGCGAACAAGGAGACCCGAGUUGUGGAGGCACCUCACCGCCACCCGGCGGCGCUUCUCCGGCCGCCCGCUGUGGCGGCUGCCCGCAGCUAAAGCCCUGCCCCCGAGAGCCCCAGCUUCCCGGCGGCCCCUGGACACUGUAACCUCUUCACGCCCGGCCCCCGACCCGGGGCUGACCGGUUCGUGACUUUUCUGCCAAUCAGAGACGUUUUCUCCAACCAAUCACAGUGCGCGAGGUGUCCUCUUCGGCCCUUCGGUCCUUCGGCUCUUCGGCCCUUCGGCUCCUGCGAGUUCUCUGUGUCGGGGCCCUCUAGGGCCUUCUGCACUGCUCUAAAGCGUAGUGCUCACUGGUGGUGUUAUUUCCUUUUUUUUUUUUUUUUUCCCCAGCCACUUCCGGGUCCUGCGUCGCUCCGGAAGCCCGCGAGUUCCGGAAGCCCGGGUAACCCACAUUCUGCUAGGAAAAAGCCAAGCUUUCCAGAGUAUGUUUCAGAAAAAGUUACGUGGAGCGUGGGCGUUUCGCACACUCCUAAGGUCCCAGCAAGUAUGAGGCAAGGAUUUCACAGAGGAACUUGUGGAAAAAGUCUCCAUUGCCAUAGUAGAGGGCUGUCAAGUCUUGAAGGAGCUGCAGGAAAGGGGAAAAGCUGUCAUUCCUUUCAUGAGGAGGGCCAAAAAGAAAACAAAAAGUAAUAGAAAAGAAAAGGGAGAACUAAAGAAAGGAAGAAAGAAGAGAGAAAAGAGAGAGAAAGAAGUUCCAAGUAAGAAGUGAUUGCCUGCCUUAAGGUUUUACACUACUGAAAAACUGAAACGCCUGUCUUCUGUGCCCCUGUGUAAUUUGUGAAUCAGUUUUAGUUUUCCAUGUGUAAGUGGAAGAGGUAGUAUGAUAUUAUAACAAUUUGAUGAUAUUCCUUAAUUUUAUUUUUUUUCC